CAAAACCGGUCGCACGACUCUCGUCCCUGCCCGCACGACCUCCCCCUCCUACUCCUCCCGCGUCGUUCGCCACCCCGCAAACUCCGUUAGCCGCCCUUCGCCGCUGGAGCCGCCGCCCGCGGAAGCCUCCGCGGGAGCAGCUGCGGGGGCCGCUCGCCGCUGCAGCCGCCACGGGAGAAGCAGCGGGAGCCGCCGCGUGUCGCCCUUCGCCGCGGGUCGCCGCCGGAGCCGCCCCUCCCCUGGAUCCGCUCGCCGUUGGUCGCCGCCGGAGCCGCCCCGCCCCUGGAUGCGCUCGCCACUGGUCGCCGCCGGAGCCGCCCGUCGCGCCCCCACUCAGCUUGGCCUCCGCCCCGCCGUCCCCGGUCCUCAAGCAAGCUACUUCAAUUUUAGGUGAGCUGGCAGGGAUCACAAGCAUCGGUGUUGCAUUCUUGAAUCUCACAUACACAGUUAAGUAAUGUUCUCCCUCACAUAAAGUCCUUUUAGUGCAUGUAAAGUUUUGCUCACUUUCUUUCUAGCUAGCUGCCGCAUUCAUUUCUUUCCGUGGCACCGUAUAGUUUAUACCUCAGAGAGGUCAUUUUAGUGCAUGAUGUUCUGGUGUAGCUACCAUUAGCUUUACUGGAGCAGAGCAACAUUUAAUAGGAAUUCCACCAUAAAUAUUUACCCAGAUACAACAUUCUUCUCUGGAAUUUGAGUUUUUUUCGAGAAGGUUUUGGAUCUAAGGAUGAGCUAUCAGUGGUACUGAUUAUACAACGAGUUUGUACAAAAUGUUCGCUGGUGUUGGGUGUUUACCUUUUAUCACUUCUAUAUCCCCUUAUUGCGUUUCUCUGUUUCUAGAAAGUAGGCCAUUUGUUCCAGGCUUUCAAGUUUGUGCUAUAACCUGAAGGAGAAAGAGUUCAUUAUUGACCAGCAGUUAAAAGCAGGUUCAGUUUUUUACCUCAUUUUCCAUCCCCACAGUAGAACUUUCUGUUAGUUCGAACAAUAUCUCAAUGCAUUAUUUACACACCUAGCUUGUGCUCUGUGCCCAGAAUUGGUAAACUGUAGCCGUGAUAAUACUACACUGUAUUCAGAAAUAGCAGGAGGAGAUAAAGCUAGGUGUUGCAUAUAGGCCGGUGGUGAACCCUUUUAGAGCUGACCUUCCUUCAGAGUUGGAUAUCAUCUACAGUAACCUCACUGCAUCCAUAGAUCAACUGAAUAAACAAAAGGCACUUAAGAUCUUUAUUGGUAUCCAGGAUGUGUUGUCUGACCAUCUAAGCAAACUGGCCCACUAUGCUAAGGAAUUAGGACAAUUCAGUUACUUGACCGGACUGUUUAGCAUGCAGAAAUUGGAAGCAGGCUUAGAAAAACACCACCAAGCUUGAAAGCAGAAAAAGAUGCACACACUCACCAUUAUUAUCUUCCUGUGAUAAUUUUAGGCUUGUAACAGGAAACUUGAAGAGGCAAUUUUAGUUGGUGGUGUGCUUUACAAUUUCAUAUUGUUGUUCGGUGUUUCUCCAUAAUCAUGUCUUCUAUUUUUUAGAAUUUUCUAGCAUAUGAACUAUCACAUGAAUUUUCCUAGCUCCAAUGGUCGCGCCGCCCAGGACGUCGGCGGCGGAGACGAAGGCAAUUUGUACUGGGACGUCGUGGCCGAGCCGCAGGACCUCCGCCUUGACGAGCUGCUGGACCUAGGCCUCGACGAGACGCCGGACCUCGGCCUCCCUCUGGUUUUCAUGGUACGGUCCCUUCCCCUCUCCACCAAAUCUUGACUUGUGUGUUGUUCUGCUCUGCACUGAUUGUAUUGCCAUUGUUAUAACUCUUCUAAAUCCAUUUUUGAUAUGGUGGCCCGCUCCAGCUGGAACAGUUUUGUAGAGACAAAUUGGAAGAGUGCAGCUGCCCUGGCUCAUGGAAUUGGAAGAAUUUAUGCUUUUUUCUACUCAGAAAGGAAGCUAUUUUUUCUGAAUCAUAGAAAGGAUGCAACUUUGUCAGGGGUAGUAGAUACAAAGUUCAGUGUCUACAGCAUAUAAACCGGAAGCCGUGCUUCCGGUUUCAGCAUAUAAACUUUUUUGGUCAUACAAUCUGAAUUUUUACCAUUUCACAUAGACAACCUAUCAUUUGUGGUUCACCACAUUUACAUGCUCUGAUUCCCACGCUCAUGCGAACAAGUAUAUGCUAGAAAUUUCAAAGUAUCGUGUCAGUUAGAAUUAUCACAUGGGUACCCAUUUUCUCCAUGAAAAUACCUCAUGUAAUGCUAUGUUCCAUAGUUUCUACAUUAUGAUAAGUUCAUAGUUUAUAUAUUGUUUCAACAUUAUAUUUUGUACUGAGACAUGCAGCCAUAUAUUCUAUUUCUACUUCAAUACAUUCUCCCAUGUGCAUUCUAAUAGACAAUUGGCCCUCUUCUUUUUUUGUGAUAAUGAUAGUCCUUGAUGAAAUGCCACCAAGUUAGUCUACUAUCUCAAGUCAGAUUCGAUAAUAAUUUAUUUUACAUUGCCAUCUUUCUUGAUUACGUACCGUGUCGUUGCAGAUGAUCUCAGGUAAUCAGAUCCAACACCCAAAUUCAAUUUGAGUUGCUUUUAAAUGCUUCUGGGAGGCAUAUGAUGUUGAUAUGCUACAUUGUAGUUUAUGUUUGGUAGGCUAUGAUAUUUUUGCCCUAAACUGUCACAUUUCUUAAUUCCAAAAUUUAAUUGUUGUAGGCUGAACAUGAGCAUGUCUGUUUGUGGUGUUGAGGUAAAGCUCAGUUUGUUACACAGCAGAGCCAAGGGCAUGUCAUGGACCAAGUAUAUCAAGUUGGGCAGCGUGUGCAGGUCGACAUGCUAUAGUAAUAUGCUUUUUAAACUGCUACAACGCAUGGCCAUUCGGCUAUUAUCUAAAUUAAUGCUUAUAUUGUUAGCAUAGACCUUUCAGCUAAAUUUGCAGCCAUGAUGUUACAUUGCCAAUAUUUUAGAAAACUGUAAUUUGCUGCCAUGAUGUUACACACGUGCAGGUCUAUGGUGGUGUCAUGAAUUUAGGGGUACAUCUCCUUGCACUCAGGUGGAAGAAAUUCCUCGCCCUCAAGUCCAACUAAUUCAGGACCUGCAUCUCUGAUAUACCGUGGUGAUUCAAGCUUACUCUUGAUCUGCCCACUACUUUCCAUUCCAUUUCUUGGAUGAAAGGAAUGUUGGUUUAAUUUAACAUGCUGUUCAAUCUCAGAAGCACUUGAUGUGCUCAACUGCUGAUAUAUACAAGAAAUACCGGAUCUUGAUGAAGAUGGUAGUACACUUCAUUCACAAUUUAAAUUCUUAGUGUAUCUAUCAUCAUGUCCAGGUUGGUUCCUUUGUAAACACAUUUUAGUAUCAUUAUCCAUUCAGUGUUCUGUUUACAGUGUACUAUUAAAUGCCAUUUUCCAUGUAUAUUUUUGUUGAUUGUUGUUGGAUUUGGAGGCAAACUAAUUUCCUCAAGUAUGAAUUAUCUGCCAUCUAUAUGACUUCGAAAUCUUCAUUUUGAAAUUAUGAAAGUUUAUUCCGCUCUUACAUUAAGCAAGUGUUUAGAGGAAGUUUUGCUUUUGUUUAGGCUCGAGAAACAAACUAUCAUGCAGCUUCUCUUCCAAAAAUGCAUAGCAAAAUUUCAGGGACCUGCAGAUAGUUUCUUGAGUAACAAAUUUUAGGAGGUAUGACUAAUUUUCUUAUGAUAGUUCAGACAUGCUGCCAAUGAAAUUCAUCCUUUACAGAAAACAGCAAGUUGUUUAUUCAUGUGUUGUUUUGUUAUUAGACUGUAAGGAUAAGUUACCUUUUUGUUUUUACUGCACCAAGGUUAAAAGCUUUGUUUUCUUUUGAUAGCUGCGCCUUUUUCUUCUACAAUUUAGUUUCUCAAGAGUAUGCCAGAGGCGUAUCAUACUUUUAUAGAAGAGAGCAAAGAUAAUGUACAAGAAGCCUCGAAAUGGAUGCGAACAUCCACUCUCGGCCACACCCCAUUACAACCAAAGCCGGUGUACUCUAAACACCCCAGAUUACGGAUAAUUGUUUACAGAUAUUCUCACAGAUUUGGGAUGUAACAAUGGUUAAUCUGCUCUUCAUGUUUUUGAUAAUUGCUUUGACCAUGUGUUAAUUAGGCAUUACUAUGUAUCCGGCUUUUUCUAAGAUAUCUUUUAUGCCAUCAUUGCAUUGAACCAUGAGUGAAGCAAUGAUGUAAACAACUCUGGGGUAUAACCAUUUGGCUGCUGGACUAAACAUAUAUCUUUAGGACAUAUUUCAAAACACAAAAUUUCAUGAUGAAAAUCAGCUUGUCCAUUUUCUUAUAUGGCUUGACUCUGUUCAAUCUUACAGAGAAAGGGAUUGUUUUCUUCUUUUGUGACGUGACAAGAAACAAGGUCAUGUGUGAGACAGAAGAGGCAACUGAUUUGGCUCUUCAUCAUGUUGAGACUGUUGCAGCCAUGUGUUAUGUGUCAAUUUCUUUGAUGGGACAGAGGAGGGUGGAAUGGGGAUGAUAUGGCUAAGAAGUACUCCCUCAUUUAGUGACUACUAGGGUGUCUGUACUAGCAACAUAAGUUACAUAAAUUGAUUGAUCUUGAACUAAUUUGCACAUUCUUUA